rnacentral:ncRNA from 1 species
UCAUAACCAGUGAGGGAAAAAGUAAUUGUGGUAGGCAUGGAUAGAGAGAAAGUGCCAUAGGCUGAAAGCACUUUUUACAUGUACGCUAUAAUGAAAGACAUUCCUUAGGUUCCACAUCGAAGCUUACUAGUAGUAGGUGUUGGACGUUGCAGGCGUUAACUGUUCAAGUGGAAGCUUGUUGUGCUUCAAUUAGGGUGGCAACGCGGGAAAUAUCCCGUCCCUAUU